rnacentral:rRNA from 1 species
UGGGGAAUUUUGGACAAUGGGCGAAAGCCUGAUCCAGCAAUGCCGCGUGUGUGAAGAAGGCCUUCGGGUUGUAAAGCACUUUUGUCCGGAAAGAAAUCCUUGGCUCUAAUACAGUCGGGGGAUGACGGUACCGGAAGAAUAAGCACCGGCUAACUACGUGCCAGCAGCCGCGGUAAUACGUAGGGUGCAAGCGUUAAUCGGAAUUACUGGGCGUAAAGCGUGCGCAGGCGGUUUGCUAAGACCGAUGUGAAAUCCCCGGGCUCAACCUGGGAACUGCAUUGGUGACUGGCAGGCUAGAGUAUGGCAGAGGGGGGUAGAAUUCCACGUGUAGCAGUGAAAUGCGUAGAGAUGUGGAGGAUACCGAUGGCGAAGGCAGCCCCUGGGCAAUACUGACGCUCAUGCACGAAAGCGUGGGGAGCAAACAGGAUUAGAUACCCUGGUAGUCCACGCCCUAAACGAUGUCAACUAGUUGUUGGGGAUUCAUUUCCUUAGUAACGUAGCUAACGCGUGAAGUUGACCGCCUGGGGAGUACGGUCGCAAGAUUAAAACUUAAGGAA